GAUGAACGCUGGCGGCGUGCCUAAUACAUGCAAGUAGAACGCUGAAGGAGGAGCUUGCUCUUCUGGAUGAGUUGCGAACGGGUGAGUAACGCGUAGGUAACCUGCCUGGUAGCGGGGGAUAACUAUUGGAAACGAUAGCUAAUACCGCAUGACAACAGUUAUUGCAUGAUAACUGUUUAAAAGGGGCAACUGCUCCACUACCAGAUGGACCUGCAUUGUAUUAGCUAGUUGGUGAGGUAAUGGCUCACCAAGGCGACGAUACAUAGCCGACCUGAGAGGGGGAUCGGCCACACUGGGACUGAGACACGGCCCAGACUCCUACGGGAGGCAGCAGUAGGGAAUCUUCGGCAAUGGACGGAAGUCUGACCGAGCAACGCCGCGUGAGUGAAGAAGGUUUUCGGAUCGUAAAGCUCUGUUGUAAGAGAAGAACGAGUGUGAGAGUGGAAAGUUCACACUGUGACGGUAUCUUACCAGAAAGGGACGGCUAACUACGUG
rnacentral:rRNA from 1 species